UGGGGAGUGGUGUAACGGUAGCACUACAGACUCUGGAUCUGUCAGUGAGGGUUCGAAUCCUUCCUCCCCAACCA
rnacentral:tRNA from 1 species